AAUAUUGGGACAUAUAAAAAAAGACAACUCUGUUCCGCAGAGUAGCUGUUGACAUUAUAGUUGCGCAGGAACUUUGUUGACUCUAGAGAACCUCGGGCAAAUCGCACAUCCCCGUGGCGGCGACUUUGCAUGCGGAUGUCAUCCAUAUCAACUUUCGAUGCCAGUUUCUGCGCCUACCAUGGUGACCACGGGUAACGGGGAAUCAGGGUUCCAUUCCGUACAGGGACCCUGAGAAACGGCUACCACAUGCAAGGAAGGCAGCAGGCGCGCAAAUGACCCACUCCCGACGCGGGAAGGUAGUGA